rnacentral:rRNA from 1 species
GAUGAACGCUAGCGGCAGGCUUAAUACAUGCAAGUCGUGGGGCAGCAUGAAGUAGCAAUACUUUGAUGGCGACCGGCAAACGGGUGCGGAACACGUACACAACCUUCCUUUUAGUGGGGAAUAGCCCAGAGAAAUUUGGAUUAAUACCCCGUAACAUAGCGAUGUGGCAUCACAUUGCUAUUAUAGCUUCGGCGCUAGAUGAUGGGUGUGCGUAUGAUUAGAUAGUUGGCGAGGUAACGGCUCACCAAGUCUACGAUCAUUAGCUGAUGUGGCAGCAUGGUCAGACACACGGGAACUGAGCCACGGGCCCGACUCCUACGGGAGGCAGCAGUAAGGAAUAUUGGUCAAUGGACGAAAGUCUGAACCAGCCAUGCCGCGUGAAGGAUUAAGGUCCUCUGGAUUGUAAACUUCUUUUAUAUGGGACGAAAAAAGGUCUUUCUAGAUCACUUGACGGUACCAUAUGAAUAAGCACCGGCUAACUCCGUGCCAGCCGCCGCGGUAACAC